rnacentral:rRNA from 1 species
GACGAACGCUGGCGGCGUGCCUAAUACAUGCAAGUAGAACGCUGAAGGAGGAGCUUGCUUCUCUGGAUGAGUUGCGAACGGGUGAGUAACGCGUAGGUAACCUGCCUGGUAGCGGGGGAUAACUAUUGGAAACGAUAGCUAAUACCGCAUAAGAGUAGAUGUUGCAUGACAUUUGCUUAAAAGGUGCAAUUGCAUCACUACCAGAUGGACCUGCGUUGUAUUAGCUAGUUGGUGAGGUAACGGCUCACCAAGGCAACGAUACAUAGCCGACCUGAGAGGGUGAUCGGCCACACUGGGACUGAGACACGGCCCAGACUCCUACGGGAGGCAGCAGUAGGGAAUCUUCGGCAAUGGACGGAAGGCUGACCGAGCAACGCCGCGUGAGUGAAGAAGGUUUUCGGAUCGUAAAGCUCUGUUGUAAGAGAAGAACGAGUGUGAGAGUGGAAAGUUCACACUGUGACGGUAUCUUACCAGAAAGGGACGGCUAACUACGUG